rnacentral:rRNA from 1 species
AACGAACGCUGGCGGCAGGCUUAACACAUGCAAGUCGAACGCCCCGCAAGGGGAGUGGCAGACGGGUGAGUAACGCGUGGGAAUCUACCCAUCUCUGCGAAAUAGCUCCGGGAAGCUGGAAUUAAUACCGCAUACGCCCUACGGGGGAAAGAUUUAUCGGGGAUGGAUGAGCCCGCGUUGGAUUAGCUAGUUGGUGGGGUAAAGGCCUACCAAGGCGACGAUCCAUAGCUGGUCUGAGAGGAUGAUCAGCCACAUUGGGACUGAGACACGGCCCAAACUCCUACGGGAGGCAGCAGUGGGGAAUAUUGGACAAUGGGCGCAAGCCUGAUCCAGCCAUGCCGCGUGAGUGAUGAAGGCCUUAGGGUUGUAAAGCUCUUUCACCGGUGAAGAUAAUGACGGUAACCGGAGAAGAAGCCCCGGCUAACUUCGUGCCAGCAGCCGCGGUAA